UCUAUGGCCCUUUUGAGAACUGCUGUGCACUGCACACAGCAUGCACGGCUCCACCCCUGCCCUGACGCUGGGCACGGAACGGGUGGGGAGCAAAAUCGCUGCUGUGAGAGGAGCCCUGUCCCGGGCCCUCUCCUCUGGUUCCAGGGCCCUGGCGCUGUGUUCACCGGCCGGCCGCUGGGUUCCCUGCGGCAGAGGCUGCUGCGCGCUCUCGGGGCGUGCCAGGUGUCUCGGCAAGUCGCUCCUGGGUUUCCUGGGCACACUCCGUGCAAGGAGAGGCUCAGGUCCCAGAAGACCCCUGCCUGUGGUCGCAGGGAGCACCAGUUCUGCCAGGGUCAUGAGUGUGGGCCCUCCCUUUGGCCACCACCAAGACUCACCGAGGUGACCUUCAACAUGGGCUGGAAACCCCCUUCCCCAAUGGCUGGCUGUGACUGGACAGUGGUAAUGGGGUUGCCAGACGUGGGAGCCUCUGUGGGUGCCAUGUCCCAAGAGAGUGUUGAUGAGGGGUGGCCCCUUAUGCUGGAGCUGGGCAGGGUCCUGGUCCUAGGGGGCAUCAGGGGAGGGGCUGGGAGAUCAGGGAUAAGUGCUCCUUGGGGACAUGAGGCCUGCAGGUGACUGAUGGACCACAGGAGGGCCUUGGUUUUCUCAGGCUCGAGUUCUCUGGGCCUCUCUUUGCCUGCCUGUGCAGUGGACAAGAUGAUGCUGGGCUUCCAGAGGUGGCCACUCUACACGGAUGACAGAUUAUACCCAUCUGUCAUCUCCUGGGUCCCCCCAACACCUAGAUGGCAGAGGUUCCUAGGCAAGAGUGUCCUCCCACCCAUGCUGGACAGCUGGCAGAGCUCGGAUUCUGGCAGAUGGGGACUGGCUGGGUGGGGGCAGUCCGCCAAGCCUGUUGCACUGGGGGCUCCAACACUCUGCAGGCCAGUGGGAUUAAAAAAAAGGGGGGGGGGACUUCCAAUGCUGGAGUCCCACAGCUGGCCAGGACCUCUCAGCCCUCCUGCAGACAACUGGUGGGCCACAGGAGGGCCCUGGGUUCUCUUAGGCUCAACAUUCAGGUGCCAUUGGCUGCUGCUACCCAAAGCCUUCAUUGCUGCCUCUGAGCUGCUCCUCGCCCUGGAUUCUGCCACCGCCCCCCCCCACAAAGAAAGCAUAUUUGUUUAUGGAUAUUCCAGUGACCCACCCAGGCUGGGAAAUGCCAGGCCAGCCCACGGGUAGCUGGAGUGCUAGGGUGGAAGGUGACCCCUGCCAGUCCAGCAGGGAGGACACUGGGCUGCCUCUCCUUAGGAAUCUGCCUUCCCAGGGCCCUGUGAGAAGUGCUUGAGGCCAUGUGAGGGGUGGUCAGCCCACAGGAGUGAGCCCACCCUCCAUCCUUUCCUCAGGGCUGACGCUGCCCACCUACCCCUACCCAGAGUCCACUCCAGCCCCCAGCUGGCAGCCUUGCCUCGAAUUCUCUGGGCCUGUCUUUGCCUGCCGGCGUAGUGGACAGGAUGAUGCUUAGCCUCCAGAGGUGGCCACUCCACACGGACCGGCUCCCAGCGGCCACAGAAGGGGAUGUGGACUGGCCCUGGGGAACCGCCUGGCUCUGCUCCAACUCCAUCUUAUUUAUGGAUGCUGACAUUUGAGUUGCGUCUCAUUUCACAAGUCAGGAAACACUCUUCUGCUUUGGAUGUUUGUUAUCUUAAAAUGUACCAGCCUUCUCGGGGCUGGGUAGGACAACCGAGGGGCCCGGUGCUCACUCCCGCCUGGAAGCUCUACCUGCACCAGCUCAUUUGGUUCCCCAGACCUCCGAGGGGCCGACCCUUGUUCCCACUGGGCAGGUACCUGCUCGCAGCCUGGAAACUGGAAGCUUGGGAAGUGGCCGCCCAACAAAGCCGAGCAGCUGACCGAGGUGAAGUUCUCCGGGGCAGCCUCGGUUUCCUCCUCUGCACAGUGGGUCUGAUGAAAGUCGUCCUUCAGAGCACCCGUGCAGGUGCGAAGCCUUCCCUGGGCUCUGCAUGUGCUGGGGGUCAGGAGUUGCUGGCUUCAUCUGACUUACUAUGAAAAGGGCCUGCCAGCUUCCUCUCGGGGCAGGGUGUCUGCAGCCUGCCCUCCGACAGAGCACAUCCCUCCAUGUCAGGGUGCAGAGACAGAGCUCCUUCCCCAAAGACCCCCUGUGACCUGAAUUUUAUCCUGGGGCUCGGGCAUCCUAAGGGACUGACUGGGUCACCUCCAGUCACAGCCCCCCAGCAGUCCCCCAAGCAGAGUCAAGCUACCAGCUGAGAAGCUGAAGGUGGGGAGCCAGCAGGCCAGCUGCUCCCCCCUCACAGCCUCAGCUUCCCCACCUACACAACAGAGGCUAGGUUCCUGCCUGCGCUGCCAGCAUGAUAGCCCAGUCCUGUAAUCCAGCUGCUCCGGAGGCUGGGGCAGGAGGAAUUCAAGCUCCAGGCCUUAUAGUGAGAACUUGUCUCAAAACAAAAAAGGGGUGAGAGAUGGAGUUCAGUGGUAGAGCAUUUGCUUAGUGU